ensembl:lncRNA
GGAAGGCCAACAUGAGGUCCCCCCAGGACCCUCUCCCCUUCAAGAUCUUAAAAAAAAAAGAAACUACAUAUAGUCCUCAGUAGCCUGCUCUGGUGUCCCUGCUUGAGCAGAGAGUCAGAUCUGAGGUCCCUUCCAACCUCAGCCAUUCUGUGAAACUAAAGGAGUUAGAGCACAAAUGAAUCUGACCCUGAAUAUCUAUUAAGCGUUGAUGAAAGCAGAGAGGAAUACAAUUUUAGCAUAAGUAAUGUGGUUUUCUAAUCUAGUAAAAAAAAAAAAGGCACUCUGUGCCUUUAUCACACUUCCAGACCCUUGGUUCCUUUGUUUUCCUCAUUUAUUUACAAAUGCAGUUCUGAUAAUUUAAAAAGUGAAACUGUGUGGUUUGUGGUUUCACUUAUUGUGUUUAGUUUUUUGUUUUGUUUUGUUUUUUUCAAAAACCUUUUACUAACUUUAAUUGACUCAAAUCCAUACGAUACUGUCACCAAGAUAUUUUCUAUAUAAAUACUUCUUCUUAUAAGAUCUUCCUGGGUUGAAAGACUUAGCUGCUUUGCUAGAAUUAAGGGAAUGUGUAAGAUAAGUAUUUUAAUCAAGAAAGAGAAGGAAGGAAAUUCUUUGAUCCCUUUUUUUCCAGUUUCAAAAAUCAAGCGUUUGGAAUACCAACUGUUGGAAGCAUAGAGAUAAACAAGUGUUUUUUGCAACUGUGGCAAGACAAGGAAAUACAUCCAAACUGAUGGGAAUAGGUUCUGUGUGAUAGUAAUAUCCAUGAGAAGGACCAAAAAAAUUAUUAUUGUAAUGUUUUUCUUCAUUUAUUCUACCAAGAUAGUAAAUUGUGUUAGGGGUCUUCAGCCUUAGCUGUAAGCAGUUUACGACACAUGAAACAAGAUCACCCCAAUUGCUUACAAGGAAUGUUCAAGAAGUUUCAAUGCAUCUGAGGAAUUUUAAGUGUUGUUAACCACAACUAACUGGCUGAAGUAUGAAAAUUGCUGAAGGGCAUUUUCUAUCACACUUUGGGCAGCUGCACAUGAAAUUGAUGGAAAAUUACCUUUCCAAGUUUAAGCUACAUCUAAGCUACAUCCGGCAAGUUGAUCAAGAUUCAAUCUACACCAAACCUUUAUCAACAAAAAUAAUAAUCAGAACAGUUGCUGUCUGGAAAACAAAAAAUGUCCUGUCUGUACGUCAUCCUAUUCUGCUGUAGCUAUUCACUGAUAUAUGCAGUGCUGAAUUCUUUGGGUGUAAAAGUAGGUACUGUGUUCACACAGAACAUCUGUCUUUAUCUCACUGGCUCAUGACAUAUCAUGAGCAUCUGUCUUAUGGAUAUUGCAGCUUCAUUGUUAGCUCCUCUCAUCCAAUCUUUUAUUUUGGGUAAUGAUGGGUUUUGCGAAUGCAAACCAUUUGCCACUGACUUUGUUUUUUUAUUAGGAGUGACUUAUGUUUCCAGUCCAUCCCUUAAAUUUUAGGACAACACAACAUUUAUCAUAGUGACAAAAUGAUUUAAAUCACUGUUGACACUGCCACUUUGGCAUCAUUAUAAAUACCUUGGUUCCACAGGAUUCAGGCUGUGUGAUGAACUCCAAUAAAUUUCUUCCUUAAUAUUGUCAGAGCUUGAAAUGAAAAUGUGUGCAAUAAGGAAAAGACAGAAUUGUUAAGGUGUCAUACUUAUCGCUUUGAAAUAAAUGGUGAGUUUUUUUAA